CUGAGCUGCUGAAAGCCCCCAUUUGUUCCUCAAUCUCAUCUGCUCAUUGCAGCCUUCGGGAUCCCCCUCAGCCCGACCACCUGGGUCUCCUCUAUUGGCAGCUUUGAUAAGAAAUCAUUCUUCUCCACCUAAGCUCUCCCUUUCCCCGUGGUUUUAAGUUGCUCCCCAGCCCUGACAGACUAGCCUCGUUCAAAGGCAAGCCUGGAGGAGGCUGCUGCUUCCACUCAGGCCCGGGACUCCAUUACCAGAGGCCUGAAUCCUGUGGGGACCUCUGGGGACACUCACUCCCCUCCUGGGCCCAGCAGACAGAGUGUGGCAUUGAGCAGGAACGACUUUGGUGUUCCCACACUGGGAGAGGGAAGGAGCUGGAAGUGCUGCUGAGGGAUUUUUAUUAAAACCUUGGAAAAAAACCCCACAAACCACCUCAAAACCCAUCACUGCCAUGAUCCAAAGGGAUCCUCUACACUUCACCUGGAUAAAAACCCUAAGAGAACCAAAGCCAGGUGAAGGCAGGGCAGAUUUCCUGGGAGAGGGGAGAGGAAUUGCUCCAUGUUUCCAUGUCAGGAUGCUGGGAUGGGAUGUCCUGUAGGUUGGUGGGCUGGUAUUUGGUCAGAGGUUGGGCUUUAUGACCUCUUCCAGCCUUAAUGAUGGCAUGAUUGAAUUGCCCUUGGUGUGUGGUGGAGGGGCUGGCACUGCUCCUUCCCCUCCAUCCCUGGAGCCACCCUGGGUUCAGCCCAACCUCGUUGUUCCACAGGGAAUAUUUCCCAAUUUUUUCCUUUGCUGCAAGAGCACUGUGGGAGUGACUCCCAGCACAGAUUUUCUGUAGGAUGAACACAUUUGGAUAAUUUGGAGGAGUUUGAGCCCUCAGCACUCACCAGAAGCAAGAGCCAAAGCUUCAGGAGUUUCCCCCUUCACUUGCGGUGCGAGUUUCCCCUUUGAUUAAACAAAUGAUUCUUUGCCUAA